GGACCUACCCCCUUCCCAUCCCUGUUCAUUCUUCAGACGUAGCAGAAAGAAUCCAAUGUGCUGCUUCCAUGUGGCAAUCUCGCAAAAUAGAAUUUAUUACCCCAAACAAAAAUAAAUGUAUUUCUUUUACCCAAACGCUUGCUGCAUUUUUCAUAUUCCUCUUCUUCACCAAAUCUCUUUCCUGAAUUCACUGGCCCCUCCCAACUAUCUCUUCUUUUCCACUAGAUGAACAUUCAUCCAUCCAGCCAGCCAGCAAUCCACCCAUCUAUCCAUUAACUCAGUCACCAUAAUGGAACCCCUUCUAUGCCACCUUCCAGAAACCAUACAAGGUGUUCUAGAUGCUGAUAAUGUAGGGUUUCUGCUCAGAAGCUCAGAAGCUGCUGUCUGGUGCCAAUCAUUCAGGAACACAUUACAGAACAUGAAGAGGGAACCAAGGAUUCUGGAGAGAUGAACAUCAAAUUCCCAGAGACCUCAAAUGUUCUGUUUGGAGAAACCAACUUGGAAACAAACCUAUGUUAAACUCUAUGCGACCAGAGAUUGGCCGUGUCUUCCUCUGUCACUUCUGGCAUAUACCAUGAACUAAGAACAUUUUUUUGAUGGUUGAUUAUUGGCCUAUGGGAAGGAGGAAGAAGGGAAAGGAGAAGGUCAAGGGAUAUUUUGGAAAUUUUCUAAUGUUUCUUAAAUGAGUAGGAUAUUUAAAAAAAAUAAAUGGUGUGAGUUUAUGGAAUCA
rnacentral:lncRNA from 1 species